CCCAGCGACGCCGCGUGAGGGAUGAAGGCCUUCGGGUUGUUAACCUCUUUCAGUAGGGAAGAAGCUAAAGUGACGGUACCUACAGAAGAAGCACCGGCUAACUAUGUGCCAUCAGCCGCGGUAAUACAUUGGGUGCAAGCGUUGUCCGGAAUUAUUGGGCGUAAAUAGCUCGUAGGUGGUUCGAUACGUCGGAUGUGAAAAUCAGGUGUUCUACCCCUUAUUUUCAUCCGUUACGGUCAAGCUAUAUUUUGGUAGGGGAGAUUGGAAU
rnacentral:rRNA from 1 species